rnacentral:rRNA from 1 species
AAAUGAAUAGACGGGGGCUCACACAAGCGGUGGAGGAUGUGGCUUAAUUCGAGGCUACGCGAAGAACCUUAUCCUAGGCUUGACAUGCAUGGAUACCCUCUUUGAAAGAAGAGUAAGUUGCCCUUGUGGUGAAACUUGCACAGGUGCUGCAUGGCUGUCGUCAGCUCGUGUCGUGAGAUGUCGGGUUAAGUCCCUUAACGAGCGAAACCCCUGUCACCAGUUGCUAUCGAGUGAUGUCGAGGACUCUGGUGAGACUGCCGAAGUUAAUGAGGAGGAAGGUGGGGAUGACGUCAAGUCCUCAUGGCCUUUAUGUCUAGGGCUGCACACGUCCUACAAUGGCAUCCACAAAGGGAAGCGAGACUGUGAAGUGGAGCUAAUCCCAAAAAAGGUGUCUCAGUUCGGAUUGCAGGCUGCAACUCGCCUGCAUGAAGCCGGAAUCGCUAGUAAUCGCGGGUCAUCAUACCGCGGUGAAUAUGUUCCUGAGCCUUGUACACACCGCCCGU